CUUCACCCAUUUCUUCAAUCCGGAUUUCUUUGCCAAUCUUCAUCCAAAGUUGAAAUAUGACGUUCCAGUUCUUCUCUUAUCAGGUAAAUGUUUUCUUCUUUCACAAGAGCUUUCUUUGCUAGACCAUGUACAUGUCUGUUCUCUGAUCUAUCAAUGUGUUGAAAAGUAAGAUCUUGAAACUAAGAUUUCUUGUUCUGAAUAUAUUUUAUAAUGGCACUGAUCACCGAUUUGUCUGUUGAAGUCGCCUUGCUCUUCUCUAUGAUUGUUUUUGAGUCUCCCAUGAUUCUAACUGACUGAGAUCCUAAUGCAAUCCCUAAUUUCAUGCCUUCUAAACAUGCAAAUGCCUCUACUGCGAAUGGUGAGGGAACAUUUCUGUGGAUAACCGUUUUAACACCAGUAGAUUUCCCCUCAUAUCCCAACCUACUAAUCCAGUCGCUGAUUUGAAAGCUCUACUGUCCAGUGCUGCAUCAAAUUUGAUCGAUAAUCUUGGUACGUUCUCCUGUAUUCUGUGACUCCUGGAAAUUCUCUCAAUUUUCUUCACAACAUUAAUUCCUUCAUAUCCUACCAUGUGUCGCUGAAUAUUCUGAGCUAACCCCCUUCUUGUUGAAUUUUUCCCCUCGUGAAUGAGUUUGUUUCUAAAGGACCAUAUCAACCAUAAUGCAUAACAGAAAAGCCAACACUGGUUAUAGUUGUUGUUCUUGAAUACCCAGACUCUCUUCAACUCCAGAGUUACAUCGUGGACAACAGGUAGUUGAAAUGACCCUCCUUAAUCUGAGAUUUCCAAAAUGAGGGAUAUAAUCCCAUGAAAUCCUCCAAAUUGUAAUUGCAAUUUUUGAUGGCAAUUGUUGGCCCCAUAAUUUUUUGUACAAAUUUUUUAUUUCGGUCUGAAAUAAGUAGUCAUUGGCUGCAGAAGCAUCUUGUAAUAGUUUAUAGGCACUACGUACUGAAAACUGACCAGAUAGUUCUCUACUCCACACCUGAAUAUCCUCAUGUUCGAUCUCUGCCAGGGGAAUUAGUAGAAUCUUCCGAGCAAUAUCUUCUUGAAAGUUGUCUUCCCAAAUAGAAAUGCUAUUACCUUUACCAACUCUCCAACCCAACCCUCUUUGGAGGAGUCCUCUUGCUGCCCAAAUGCUCUUCCAGGUAAAUGAAGGUAAAUUCCCCAACUCUGCAUUUAAGAAACUUGAAUGUGGGAAAUAUUUAGCUUUCAAAACUCUGGCUAACAAAGAAUUUGGAAAAUUAAUGAGACGCCAACCUUGCUUAGCUAAUAACGCGAUAUUAAAUUGACUAAGAUCUCGAAAAACUAAGCCACCAUUUUCUUUUAGCAAACAAAGAUUUUUCCAAGUGCACCAAUGAAUUCCCCUUUUGCCCCCUCCUUUCUGCCACCAGAAUCUUGCUAUAAUACUCUCCAUUUCAUCGCAAAGAGCUCUCGGCAAUAAGAAGCAUGCCAUAGAAUAAGUCGGAAUAGCUUGCAAGAUGGCCUUAAUAAAAACUUCUUUCCCUCCUUGUGAUAAAAACCUGUUACUCCAGUUAUCAAUACGUUUUUUU